CUAGACAAACACAUACACACACACAAUCCCCACCCCCAUUCUUCCCCAGCCCAACUAUUCACCUUCAUCGCUCCUUGCUUCACCCCACACUUUGUCUUCUUCUCUGAUCAUCCAAUCAUCCAUCGAUUGACUGUUGCUUAACUAAACCUCCCACAAUUGGCGUUUCUGGUUCCUACUUCUUUUGAUACCUCCAUGGCCUUUGAUGUCCGGUGGCCCCAUCUGAAAAUCUUUCUUCAUCCUCACCAGAUUUCAAGUCGGAAGCCUUUCUUCAGGAAACUGCUUCAGUGGUUACCACAUAGGUUUAAUCGACUUCAUUCACUUGGCGUUUUGCCUAAUUUUCAUUUUCGACUUGUUGAAGCAACAAUCUCCGAUUUCUUACAAUGCAUAUGAUAAUUUUGGAGGAAAGCUUCAAUCAAUUCCCUUCAAGAUUCCGCAAGUACCGAGUAGUUUAAGAAGUUUAAGAAUCAACAAGUUUGUGAUUCCAUUCACAGGAUACAUCCAUUGGACUAAUUUGUGAUUCCAUUCGCAAGAAGAUGCCAUUAAAGAGCAAUAAUGACGAGGUGUUGGCUGAUGGUAGUGAAUUGAACAUAUCACAUCUGGUAUCACUUUUGGUGAUGGAGAUGGUUUUCAGCAAGGACUAAGGAGGAUGAGAGAUUGAAAGUGGGUGACGAAUUUGAGAACAAUAUAUCUUUAUGUGUGUAUCUGAGUUCCAUUCUAAACCAAUGAACUUUCUCUAUUUCUUUUUCAAUCCCUGUCAUCGUGUAUUUACAUUUUAUUUGUUUGUGUUAGUGUGUAUCUGGAUUUGUGUGUGCUUGCAUCUGGAUCUAUAUUUGUGUUAGAGUGUUAACUCAGA